GCCCGCCUAGCUCAAUCGGAUAGAGCGUCAGACUCUUACGAGAUCCUGGCUUAGGCGUUGGGCAUCUGAAGGCUGGGGGUUCGACCCCCCCGGUGGGCU